GCAACAUAUUGUUGCAGAUCCUCAGCAUAACUGCUGUGAGUGCCUCCAGGCGGGAGUGGGGGGCCAAGGACGCUUGGGCCUAGUGUGAGGGGGGGCUUCAUCGACACUCGUGGUCUUCCAUCCCCUCGAGUUACCUAGUGGCCAUGCCCCAGUGUCCCCAACGGCACUAAAACUAGUUUAAGGAUGUAGAGUAACUCCCUUUCCUCACAAACCUCUGAAAGCCUCCUCUGCUAGUAGGCCUGGUCUGCAUCCUCCACAGCCUGGCUCUGGGGGAUUAUCCACUGAGAAUAGAUGGCUGGUUUCACACACAGAAUGAACACACCGAAACUGAUGCCUAUUUAUUUUUAACAAUAGCUGGGCAAAUUCAUUUUGGGCUAUACUAAUCAAGGCCUGACCAAGAAGUUUAAGUCUAUUUUCCAGCUUUUUAAAAUCUAUCUGUACAGCACUUAACCCAAUGGGCUCUGGGCCAUGAGUGCUACUCCUAGGCUCGCUCAUACAAAAACUUUAAACAUGUCACACACAACUACUUAUUAGGGGAGGGGCAGAGCUCCUUUCUCAAGUAAAUCUCUAUCAUUAAAGAAGCUUCUUACAACC